rnacentral:misc_RNA from 1 species
GCUGGCCCCCCACGAUAGGGACCGACGUUCCUCAGGGGUGAGCAGACGUGCGCCGGCCGUACGCCCCCAUUCUUGUCUACCUCACCCGGUUGCCUCGGCGGGCCGCGCUCCCCCUGCCAGGGAGAGCCGUCCGGCGGGCCCCUUCUGGGGGCCUCGAGCCGGACCGCGCCCGCCGGAGGACAGACACCAAGGAAAAUUCUCUGAAGGGCUGUCAGUCUGAGCGUUUAGCAAGCACAAUCAGUUAAAAACUUUCAACAACGGAUCUCUUGGUUCCGGCAUCGAUGAANAACGCAGCGAAAUGCGAUAAGUAAUGUGAAUUGCAGAAUUCCGUGAAUCAUCGAAUCUUUGAACGCACAUUGCGCCCUCUGGCAUUCCGGGGGGCAUGCCUGUUCGAGCGUCAUUUCAACCCCUCAAGCCCGGCUUGUGUGAUGGACGACCGUCCGGCCCCUCCCUU